GAUGAACGCUGGCGGCGUGCCUAAUACAUGCAAGUCGAGCGAACGGACGAGAAGCUUGCUUCUCUGAUGUUAGCGGCGGACGGGUGAGUAACACGUGGAUAACCUACCUAUAAGACUGGGAUAAUUUCGGAAAACCGGAUCUAAUACCGGAUAAUCUUUUGAACCGCAUGGUUCAAAAGUGAAAGACGGUCUUUCUGUCACUUAUAGAUGGUUCCCCGCUGCAUUAGCUAGUUGGUACGGUAACGGCUUACCAAGGCAACGAUGCGUAGCCGACCUGAGAGGGUGAUCGGCCACACUGGAACUGAGACACGGUCCAGACUCCUACGGGAGGCAGCAGUAGGGAAUCUUCCGCAAUGGGCGAAAGCCUUACGGAGCAACGCCGCGUGAGUGAUGAAGGUCUUCGGAUCGUAAAACUCUGUUAUUAGGGAAGAACAUAUGUGUAAGUAACUGUGCACAUCGUGACGGUACCUAAUCAGAAAGCCACGGCUAACUACGUG
rnacentral:rRNA from 1 species